rnacentral:rRNA from 1 species
UACGGGGGGGGCAAGCGUUGUUCGGAAUUACUGGGCGUAAAGGGCUUGUAGGUGGCCAACUAAGUCAGACGUGAAAUCCCUCGGCUUAACCGGGGAACUGCGUCUGAUACUGGAUGGCUUGAGUUUGGGAGAGGGAUGCAGAAUUCCAGGUGUAGCGGUGAAAUGCGUAGAUAUCUGGAGGAAUACCGGUGGCGAAGGCGGCAUCCUGGACCGACAUUGACGCUGAACGGCGAAAGCUAGGGGAGCAAACGGG